UACGUAGGUGGCGACCGUUGUCCGGAUUUACUGGGCGUAAAGGGAGCGUAGGCGGAUUUUUAAGUGAGAUGUGAAAUACUCGGGCUCAACUUGAGUGCUGCAUUUCAAACUGGAAGUCUAGAGUGCAGGAGAGGAGAAUGGAAUUCCUAGUGUAGCGGUGAAAUGCGUAGAGAUUAGGAAGAACACCAGUGGCGAAGGCGAUUCUCUGGACUGUAACUGACGCUGAGGCUCGAAAGCGUGGGGAGCAAACAGG
rnacentral:rRNA from 1 species